GACGAACGCUGGCGGCGUGCUUAACACAUGCAAGUCGAACGGAAAGGCCCUGCUUUUGUGGGGUGCUCGAGUGGCGAAAGGGUGAGUAACACGUGGGUAAACUGCCCUUGAAUUUGGGAUAAAUUCAGGGAAAUGGGGCUAAUACCGGGUAGGAGCUGCUGCUGCGCGGGGGGGGUUGGAAAGUUUUGGCGGUUGGGGAUGGACUGGCGGGUUAUGAGCUCGUGGGGGAGGUAGUGGCUGACCACGGCUUUGACGGGUAGCCGGCCUGCGGGGGUUACCGGCCACAUUGGUACUGAGAUACGGCGCAGGCUCCUACGGGACGCAGCAGUUGGGAGUAUUGCAGAAUGGGCGGCAGCCUGUUGCGGCAGCGCCGCGUGCGGGAGGGCGGCCUUCGGGUUGUAAACCGCUUUCGCCUGUGAUGAGGCGUGAUUGACGGUAAUGGGUAAAGAAGCACCGGCUAACUACGUG
rnacentral:rRNA from 1 species